rnacentral:rRNA from 1 species
ACGUAGGAGACGAACGUUAUCCGGAGUUACUGGGCGUAAAGGGCGUGUAGGUGGUUUCGUAAGUCUGGCGUGAAAUUUUUCGGCUUAACCGGGAAAGGUCGUCGGAUACUGCGGAACUAGAGGACGGUAGAGGCGUGUGGAAUUCCGGGUGUAGUGGUGAAAUGCGUAGAGAUCCGGAGGAACACCAGUGGCGAAGGCGACACGCUGGGCCGUACCUGACACUGAGGCGCGAUAGCAUGGGGAGCAAACAGGAUUAGAAACCCUGGUAGUCCAUGCCGUAAACGAUGCUAGCUGGGUGUUCAGGGAGGGAAACCUCUCGGGGUACCGAAGGCAACACGGUAAGCUAGCCGCCUGGGGAGUACGGUCGCAAGAUUA